AUUGAACGCUGGCGGCAGGCCUAACACAUGCAAGUCGAGCGGGGUUUUCGGACCUAGCGGCGGACGGGUGAGUAAUGCGUAGGAAGCUACCCGAUAGAGGGGGAUACCAGUUGGAAACGACUGUUAGUACCGCAUAAUGUCUACGGACCAAAGUGUGGGACCUUCGGGCCACUUGCUAUCGGAUGCGCCUACGUGGGAUUAGCUAGUUGGUGGGGUAAUGGCUCACCAAGGCGACGAUCCCUAGCUGGUUUGAGAGGAUGAUCAGCCACACUGGAACUGAGACACGGUCCAGACUCCUACGGGAGGCAGCAGUGGGGAAUAUUGGACAAUGGGCGCAAGCCUGAUCCAGCCAUGCCGCGUGUGUGAAGAAGGCCUUCGGGUUGUAAAGCACUUUCAGUAGGGAGGAAGCGUUGUGUGUUAAUAGUACACAGCGUUGACGUUACCUACAGAAGAAGCACCGGCUAACUCUGUGCCAGCAGCCGCGGUAAUAC
rnacentral:rRNA from 1 species